rnacentral:rRNA from 1 species
CUGAAAACCUAGCCUAAUAACUAACCCCAAUAUUAAAUAUAAACCAAAAUAUUUUAACGAUUUAGUAAAGAAGAUUAAAAAAUUUAUUAGAGCUAUAAAUAUGUACCGCAAGGGAAAGGUGAAAUAACGAUGAAACAUUUUAAGUACAAAAAAGUAGAGUUAAACCCUCGUACCUUUUGCAUCAUGGUUUAACUAGUAAAAUUAGGCAAAAAGAAUUACAGUCUGAUUUCCCGAAACUAAGUGAGCUACUCUAGGACAGCUUAAUGGGCCAACCCGUCUCUGUUGCAAAAGAGUGGGAAGAUCUUAGAGUAGAAAUGAUAUAUCUAGCGAACUUAGCGAUAGCUGGUUACUCAGGAAGAGAAUUUUAGUUCAACCUAAAACUACAAUAAUAUUAAAAAAUAUAGACCUAGUUUUAGAGCAAAUCAUAUAGGUAACAGCCUAUCUGAAACAGGAUACAGCCUCCACCUGUGGGUAAUGUUAUACUUAAAUAACUAAGUAGGCCUAAAAGCAGCCAACUUUAAAAUAGCGUCAAAGCUUAAUUAUUAUACCCAAUUAAUACCACAAACAAAUCAAAACCCCACCCCCAUACUGAGUAAUUCCAUACAUCUAUGGAAAUUAUAAUGUUAAAACUAGUAACAUGAAGAUUCCCUUCUCUUAAAUGUAAGUGUAAGCCAGAAUGGAAAACACACUGACAAUUAACAGCCUAAACCAAAGUAAUAAAUUACCUAAGAAAAUUUUACUAACAUAUCUGUUAAACUAACACAAGAACAUUUAAAGAAAGACUUAAAGAAAGAGAAGGAACUCGGCAAAACUGAUUCCGCCUGUUUACCAAAAACAUCGCCUCCUGAAAAAUAAGCCAUAGGAGGUCCAGCCUGCCCAGUGACUCUGUUUAACGGCCGCGGUAUCCUAACCGUGCGAAGGUAGCGUAAUCACCUGUUUUUUAAUUAAAGACCUGUAUGAAAGGCAUCACGAGAAUCACACUGUCUCCUCUCUCAAGUCCGUGAAACUAAUCUCCUCGUGAAAAAGCGAGGAUAAUACUACAAGACGAGAAGACCCUUUGGAGCUUAAGACAAGAUAAAUAAUUGCCCACUUCUACUUCCCCACAUCACAUAGCACUCUAUUUAUAAGUCUUGGGUUGGGGCAACCGCGGAGUAUAAACUAACCUCCGAGCUGAACGGAAAUUUCCUAAACAAAAAGCAACAGCUUUAUGUAUCAAUAAACUGACACAACUUGACCCAAUAUAUUUGAUUAACGAACCAAGUUACCCUAGGGAUAACAGCGCAAUCCACUUAAAGAGUCCAUAUCGAAAAGUGGGCUUACGACCUCGAUGUUGGAUCAAGGUACCCUGGUGGUGUAGCCGCUACCAAAGGUUCGUUUGUUCAACGAUUAAAACCUCACGCGAUCUGAGUUCAGACCGGAGAAAUCCAGGUCAGUUUCUAUCUGUAAAGAGCUCUUUCCAGUACGAAAGGACAGAAAUAGCACGGCCAAUAUAUUAUACAAGCCAUAUUUAGUAACUUCUGAUCAAUCUUAAAAAAAUUAUUAUUCUUUAACUCUACUCAAGACAAGAGAA